UACGGGGGGGGGCAAGCGUUGUUCGGAAUUACUGGGCGUAAAGGGCUCGUAGGUGGCCAACUAAGUCGGACGUGAAAUCCCUCGGCUUAACCGGGGAACUGCGUCUGAUACUGGAUGGCUUGAGUUCGGGAGAGGGAUGCGGAAUUCCAGGUGUAGCGGUGAAAUGCGUAGAUAUCGAUCGGAACACCCAUGGCGAAGGCAGCUCGCUGGCCUGCAACUGACGCUGAGGCGCGAAAGCGUGGGGAGCAAACAGG
rnacentral:rRNA from 1 species